CGCCAUGUUGCUUUCUCUUUCUACCUGCGCUCUACCUCUUGCUGUGACACUCUCCACUCUUCCUCCCCCUCCCUUCUUGUUUUGAGGAAGCAUUUCCUGUUUGCCAGCAUGGGAAUGUCGCCGGUCAACACGCAAACUAAAAAUAAUAUAUAUUAGAUGUGGCAGGACGGCACAGCCCGUCUCCACUCAUGUUGUGUAUGUGCUGGGUCAGUGGAUAGCUGUGUAGGCUCGCCCCUUUGCUCCCCGCCCAUUGAGUGACACUGGGCGGGGCUACUGAGCAAUUAUCCAAUUUCACCAGCGUACUGGGCGAGGCCAGCCAAAGCUAUAUAUGGGGGAGAGCUGCGCCUCUCAGAUGUGCGUCCCCCCACCUUAUCCGGAAACCUGAGCGUGUGUGUCGGCAGUGUGGUUUGGCGUGGCAGAAUUUGAUCCACGUGGCUGUCUUGAGACGCAGGUCGACGCGUCUCCUCUGCUCACUUUGCCAGAGUUGGCCUGUACUCUGGCCGGGGGUUGGGAGUGCGUGGCCUCGGAGCCGUGCGCAAUAAUCCGCGCACCGGGUUGGGAACCCUCAGGUAGGCUGGCUCGUGUGUGUCUGGCGUGUCUCAUGCGCUCUGUCGGGCUGCACAUUAUGUGACUCUGGUCUCUGUUUGCUGUUAGCAGCUAUAAAGGUGGUUGGUUGGUGGCUAUCUCUCCUGUUGCCUGUGACGCUGCGCCCUCACUCACGGGUAUGUAUGCGUGCUUGUUUUAAUCCAUCUAAUUGCAAGUCACGUAUUAAUUUUAGUCUGUAUCACAGCAGGUGGCUCCUCCUCUGACGUGGGCCGCUGCGCUGCUGCUGCUGUUCUGUCCACCUGUUCUGUCUCGGGUUCACCCCAGCAAGCUUAUUGUUCUCUUACAUUUGUGUCUAUUGUUUUUCGUUGUUUUGUUUUUUUGACAUCCUCAUUGUGUGUGUGCGCGGGUGUUUGGAGUUUCGCACGCCUGGAGUAAGUCAAUCUGGAUGAAACUCAAGUGUUGGCUUAACUGUAUGCAGUGCUGCUCAUGGGGAGGAAAUGAAUGCAGCAUAGGACUUAAAGCUACACCAAGAGGACUGAUCCACGUCAGCAAUCUAUUAGUAUCGGUUGAUUAUUGUUUCUUUGUAUUGUAAUUAGAUAAUUAUUUCGAUCAUUGGUGGAUUUUGUGACCGUUGUUGUUUUCUGUAGAUUUUUUUUGUGUUUAGUUAUCCAGUUAUUUUUGCAUAGGUUUUGGUUUCUUAUUUUUUUUCGUUUAUUAUUUGUUUGUUAUAUCAACAAAAGCACCAUCAACCUUGGUGGAGACCUCCUGGGCCCGGCAUAGUGUGGUGUUGGGGCAGUUUCUGGCUUGGUUUUGUUUUUUUUCUUGCCCCUUGCUUUGACUAAUAUCUGCCUCUUUUGUUGGACAGGAGCUGUUGGGCUGGUGUGGCGAGCGACUGACUGAUUCCUGCGGUGGCGGUCCCCUCACUUCCUGUACAGUAGUGCACAUGGGUGUCAGUUGAUGGUGUGUGGUUUCUUUUUUCUUCACGUGUGGUGUGCCUCAUCAGGACCCUUCCCCUCCCCCUCAGUCGUCGCCGCCUGGUGAGCCCUCAGCCCCUUUACACAGCACAUGCACUUUUUUUUUGGCAAACUUAACCAACCUGUCAAGAGGCCCCAGAGGAUUGUGCAAUAAUUUGCCUUUUGUUAUUAUUAUUGUAAUCUUGCUUGCAUCAUCACUGAGAUUGGUCAGCAUUUUAAAUUUUGAAAUAUCGUUAAUAAACUUUCUCUUUUAUAUUUUA